GAGAGGAUUCGGAGAACCGAGGGAGACUUGGAGGGGAUGGACGAGGCGGGCUCUUCGUCUCUCCACAUACGCAGAGUCUGCUCCAGAAACAACAGUGUCUUUAUUGGAGCCUUUCUCGAAGGCACUAGAACAGACAGAUCCCUCUCCCGGGAGAUAGGAAACAAGAGGCUGGCGUGGUCUUCCAGCCCGGGGGGCUGGGUCUCC